GAUGAACGCUAGCGGGAGGCUUAACACAUGCAAGUCGAGGGGUAAAUGGCAGCAAUGCUAUGAGACCGGCGGACGGGUGAGUAACGCGUGAGAAACCUGCCUUUCACAAAGGGAUAGCCUCGGGAAACUGGGAUUAAUACCUUAUGAUACUUCAAAUUCGCAUGAAAUUGAAGUUAAAGCGUAAAGCGGUGAAAGAUGGUCUCGCGUCCCAUUAGUUAGUUGGUGAGGUAACGGCUCACCAAGACCGCGAUGGGUAGCCGGCCUGAGAGGGUGAACGGCCACACUGGAACUGAGACACGGUCCAGACUCCUACGGGAGCAGCAGUGGGGAAUAUUGCACAAUGGAGGAAACUCUGAUGCAGCGACGCCGCGUGAGUGAAAGAAGGCCCUU
rnacentral:rRNA from 1 species